rnacentral:rRNA from 1 species
AUUGAACGCUGGCGGCAGGCUUAACACAUGCAAGUCGAGCGAGCGGCGGACGGGUGAGUAAUGUCUGGGAAACUGCCUGAUGGAGGGGGAUAACUACUGGAAACGGUAGCUAAUACCGCAUACCAUCAGAUGUGCCCAGAUGGGAUUGGCUAGUAGGUGGGGUAAUGGCUCACCUAGGCGACGAUCCCUAGCUGGUCUGAGAGGAUGACCGGCAACACUGGAACUGAGACACGGUCCAGACUCAUACGGGAGGAAGCAGUGGGGAAUAUUGCACAAUGGGCGAAAGCCUGAUGAAGCCAGGCCGCGUGUGUGAAGAAGGCCUUCGGGUGGUAAAGCACUUUCAGCGAGGAGGCGUUACUCGAAGAAGAAGCACCGGCUAACUCCGUGCCAGCAGCCGCGGUAAUUC